UCCCUGGUGGCUCAGAGGAUAGAGCAUCUGCCUGCAAUGCAGGAGACCCCGGUUCGAUCCCUGGGUUGGGAA
rnacentral:tRNA from 1 species